rnacentral:lncRNA from 10 species
UACUCUGGAGGCUGAGGCAAGAGAAUCACUUGAACCUGGAAUCAGAGGUUUCAGUGAGCUGAGAUGGUGCCACUGCAUUCCAGCCUGGGAAACAAGCAGGACUCCGUCUCAAAAAAAAAAAAAAAAAAAAAAAAAAAGCAAGUAAACCAUGGACUUUUGGAUUUUUUCUGCUUUAUUUUUUUCAUAUCAGUUCUCUUUAGUCUAGAGUUCUAUUUUUAAUAUAACAAUUUUUUAAAACUGUGUUGUUAUUGCUGAAUAGUUACAUAAUAAUUAUAUAUAAAUAUGUAUAUGAUUAUUUGAUAAACAUGUUAAAAUGUUAUUUUAAAAAACAAAUGUAAAAAUGUGCCCUGGAGAAACUAUUUGAAUAAUAAUGUGCAGAAUGACCUGAAAGGAUGACUGAGAAAGAAAAAAAAAACUAAAGAAAACCGGAUGUGAGUCUGUGAGUCUCUGGACAGCAAAGAAAAAGGAUAAAGAGAAUGAAGAAUGAUUUGGUUUUAGGGAGUUCGUGAAGAAUGGGUAUUAAAUCUUUAGAUGUUCAGUGGAAUUCAUUCAUGAAGACAUCUGAGACUGCACUUUUCUUUCCCUGGCACCAGAGAGAUGAGAGGAGAAACCUGACAAUAUCCCCAGCCUGAGCCAUCACCAGACUCCAUCCUCCUGAGUGCCCCUGAACCAGCAUCACCGCUGAACACUCUGGAAGACCUACAGAAACUGAGAGAAGGUUCUGCAAAGAGCUGUAAGGAUGCACUGAAUAUUUGCCGUUGCGGAUGAGGCUGCUGGAGCAUUGGAGAUCCAUUCAUCAUGCCAAAGUGUAGCUCAGGGAGUCACCUCCAUGGAAAAUGUGUGCUUUCCAAACGUGGCUACCAGGUCGUUGUGGAAUUCCAUCCAGAAGCACCUUGUUCUUCCAUCGCCAUCAUUCUGGACAAGGCAGAAUCCACAUUCCCCAUAUUACUAACUUUAAAGCAGAAAUGUUACGCCUUUGCCUGUAAUUGAAAUUGUAGUCAUUUGAAAAUCAAAUAUUGCUAAAAUUUGAUGUUAGAGGGAUAGAUGAUCAAUAAUUGGGUUGAAAGAAUACUGUCUCUCAUUAAGCAAAAUGAAAAUGUUUUCAGAGAUUUGUGAAAUGUUUUGCUAUGAAGACUUUUCACUGCAAAGCACCCACUUUGUUUAAAGCAAUAAGGCAACGUGCUGGAUGAACGUAAAGAAGUUUUCAACACAGAACUUCACAAUAAAAAUGGUAAAUACUGACAAUCACAGACCUAGAGUACUGCUUUUUCUUAAGAAUGUCUUUUCCAACCCCUGGCACCAGUAGAUGCCUUCCACCUUGGGACAGUCUUGAAAAUUACGGCCCGGUAAUUAUCAUCUUUAGGGAUGAUGUAAGACCAUAUUAUAUGGAAGAUUAUAUGAAGAUUCACAGACUACUGAAAAGACAGGUCCAAGUGACCAGGCCUUCAUAUGGGAGAGGAUCUCCUGCAGCGUCCAGAGGAGAAGGGAUUUUCAAAUAUUUGUCUUGAAUGUCAAGUUUUACUCUUCGGUGCUGUGCUAAAGACACGACUGUAGCAAUUAGAAAAGUGUUCAGAUAACCACCUACAAGAUGACAAAUGGCUCAGCCUUGAAUUGAAAAGAUUAAAGGACUAUGCACAUUUCAUCUGAAAAGAAUGGUUAUUUAAUGAUGAUUUUUAUAUACCAUGCAUGGUUGCUGCACAGAAAUUGGCCAGUAAGUAUUUCCCAUCUUUAUUUGAAAAGAUAAUAGGAAGAAAUAGAAUUAGGCAGCAGCACAUAGGAUUCAACUCAGGCUUAAGGAAGGACCUUGACAGGGGGAUUAGUACAAAUAUGGGAGACAGACAGAAUGUCUUCUCUAGUGGUUACACAGAGGUAGGUGAGGCUAUUGUCCACUUGUCUUUUUAGAUAUGGUCUUGCCUGAUGGCAAUGAGAUCAAAUUCAAACACUUAUUCAGGUUUCUGAUAUUUUGUCUUAUGCAUUUUGGCAUGUAAAGCUAUUAAACAGAAUACCAAAAAGCAUUAGAGCAUAGGGAGUAAAUUGUCAUCCAGAACAAUUAAAAAAAAUCCUUGAAUAUAUGGCUGGUCUGAAACAUUCUCUUCAUUUUAUAGGAGUCAGAGUAACCUCUGAGAUAGAGGAUAUAUGUCAUUUUUAUAUUUUUAUUUGAAAUGAGUUUUUAAAGAAAAACUCUUAAAAACUGAGAGAAAAGAUUAAUUAAUCAGUGUGAUUGACUCCUUACAGCAAAUAAUAUAAACUUACUUAUGGUGAUAUUUAUAUAAUAAAUUUCAAAGUAGAAUUUUUGGAUAAUAGUUUUUCUAACUGUAGUGGAAUGCUUGGAAUAAAACUUAAAAGGUAACAAGAAACUAGAUGAGACAUUUAUCCUUUUGUAAAUAACUUUUUUUAAAGAACAGUUUUAAAUUUGCAGAAAAAUUGUGAGAACAGUACAGAGAGUGCCUAUAGGCUCCACACCCAGUUUAUCCUACGAUUAAUAUUUACAUUUGUUUGGUAUAUUUGUAACAAUGAACCAGUAUUGAUAUAGUAUUAUUGUCUAAAGGACACACUUUAUUAAAUUUUCACAAGUUUUUGUCUAACAUCUUUUUUUUCUGUUCUAAGAUCCCAUCCAGAAUACAGUACAUUUGGUCUCCUGCCUCCUUAGGAGUUCUUGGCUGUGAGUUUCUCAGACGACUUUCCUUGUUUUUGAUAACCUUGACAAGUCUGAGGAGUACUAGUCAGGUAUCUUGUAGAAUGUCCCUCACAUGGGGGUGCCUGCUGUUUUUUGUCAUGAUUAGCCUGGGGUUGUGGUUUCUUGGGAGGAAGACCAUUGAAGUAAUGUGCCAUUUCCAUCACUUCAUUGAGAGCACAUACAAUCAACAUGACUUACCGCUAGCGAUGACAAACCUGAUUGCCUGGCUGAGGUUGUUGUCAGUUUUCCCCACUGCAAAAUUACUCUUUUUCCCUCUCUCUUCCAUACUGCACUCUUUGGAAGUUACAGUGCCCAGCCUACACUUCAGGAGUGGGGAGUUAGAAUCCACCUCAUGGAGGGCAGAGCAGCUAUGUAAAUUGUCUGUAAUUCUUCUGCAUAGGAGACAUUUCUUCUUUCUCAUUUAUUGAUUGAAUCACAUAUUUAUAUCACUCUGGAUUCAUAGAUAUUUAUUUUGUGCUUUGGGCAAUAAUCCAAUACUAUUUUUCUGACUUGUUGCUCAGGUGGUUCUAGCUUUGGUUAUCGGGGCUCUUUAAGUUGACCCUGGUGCUUUUUUGACCUACCCCACCAUUAGUUUUUUCUUUUCCACCUUUUAAGUUCAGGAGUACAUGUGCAGGAUGUGCAGGUUUGUUACAUAGGUAAAUGUGUGCCAUGGCGGUUUGCUGCACAGAUCGUCCCAGGUAUUAAGCCCAGCAUCCAUUAGCUAGUUUUCUUGAUCCUCUCCUUCCUCCCAUGCUCCACCAUCAGACAGGCCCAAGUAUGUGUUGCUCACACCCAUGUGUCCAUGUGUUCUCAUCAUUUAGCUCCCACUUAUAAGUGAGAACAUGUGGUAUUUGGUUUUCCAUUUCUGUGUUAGUUUGCUAAGGAUAAUGCACUCCAGCUGCAUCCAUGUCCCUGUAAAGAACAUGAUCUCAUUCUUUUUAUGGCUGCAUAAUAUUCCAUGGUGUAUAGGUACCACAUUUUCUGUAUCCAGUUUAUCAUUGAUGGGCACCUAGGUUUUUUUUUUUUUUUUGUCUUUGCCAUUGUGAUACUGCAGUGAUGAAUAUAUGAGUUCAUGUGUCUUUAUGAUAGAAUGAUUUAUAUUCCUUUGGGCAUAUACCCAGUCACAGGAUUGCUGGGUCGAAUGAUAUUUCUGCCUCUAGGUCUUUAAGGAAUUGCCAUAUUGUCUUCCACAAUGGCUGAACUAAUUUAUACUCCCACCCACAGUGUAAAAUUGUUCCUUUUCCUCAACAACCUCACCAGCAUCUGUUGUUUUUUGAUUAUUUACUAAUAUGUGAAACGGUAUCUCAUUUUGGUUUUGAUUUGCAUUUCUCUAAUGAUAAGUGAUGUUGAGCUUUUUUUCAUGUUUGUUGGCCACGUAUGUGUCUUCUUUUGAGAAGUGUCUGUUGUUCGUGUCCUUUGCCCACUUUUUAAUGGGGUUAUUUUUUUCUUGUAAAUUUGUUUAAGUUCCUUACAGAUACUGGAUAUUAGAACUUUGUCAGAUGGGUAGUUUGCAAAUAUUUUCGUACAUUCUGUAGGUUGUCUGUUUACUCUGUUGAAGUUUCUUUUGCUGUGCACAGGUUCUUUAGUUUAAUUAGAUACCAUUUUUCAAUUUUUGCUUUUGUUGCAAUUGCUUUUGGCACCUUCAUCAUGACAUCUUUGCCUGUGCCUGUGUCCUGAAUAGUAUUGCCUCAGUUUUAUUCUAGGGUUUUUAUAGCUCUGGACUUUAUAGUUAAGUCUUCAAUCCAAAUUGAGUUGAUUUUUGUAUAUAGUGUAAGGAAGAGGUCCAGUUUUAAUUUUCUGCAUAUGGCUGGCCAGUUCUCCCAGCACCAUUUAUUAAAUAGGAAAUCCUUUCCCCAUUGCUUGUUGUUGUCAGGUUUGUCAAAGAUAAAGUGGUGGUAGGUGUGUGAUCUUGUUACUCAUUCACUAUUCUGUUCCAUUGGUCUGUGUGUCUGUUCUUAUACCAGUGCCAUGCUGUUUUGGUUACUGUAGCCCUGUAGUACAGUUUGAAGUCGGGAAGCAUGAUGCUUCCAGCUUUGUUCUUUUUGCUUGGGAUUGCCUUGGCUAUUCGGGCUCUUUUUUGGUUCUAUAUAAAUUUUACAAUACAUUUUUUCUAAUACUGUGAAGAAUGUCAAUGAUAGUUUAACGGGAAUAGCAUUGAAUCUAUAAAUUUCUUUGAGCACUACGGCCAUUUUCACGACAUUGAUUCUUCCUAUCCAUGAGCAUGAAGGUUUUUCCAUUUGUUUGUGUCAUCUCUAAUUUAUUUAAGCAGUUAUUUAUAGUUCUCUUUGAAGAGAUCUUUCACUUCCCUUGUUAACUGUAUUCUUAGGUAUUUUAUUCUUUUUGUGACAGUUGUUAAUGGGAGUUCAUUCAUGAUUUGGCUCUUGGCUUGCCUGUUAUUGUUGUAUAGAAAUGCUAGUGAUUUUUGCACAUUGAUUUUGUAUCCUGAGACUUUGCUGAACUUGUUUAUCAGCUUAAGAAGCUUUUCAGUUGAGAUGAUGGGGUUUUCUAGAUAUAGGAUUAUGUCAUCUGCAAGCAAAGAUAGUUUGACUUUCUCUCUUCCUAUUUGAAUAUCCUUUACUUCUUUCUCUUGCCUGAUUGCCCUAGUCAGAACUUCCAAUAUUAUGUUGAAUAGGAGUGGUGAGAGAGGGCAACCUUGUCUUGUGCCAGUUUUCAAGGGGAAUGCUUCCAGCUUUUGCCCAUUCAGUAUGAUAUUGGCUGUGAGUUUGUCAUAAAUGGCUCUUAUUAUUUUGAGGUAUAUUCCUUCAAUACCUAGUUUAUUGAGAGUUUUUAACAGGAAGUGAUGUUGAAUUUUAUUGAAGGCCUUUUCUGCAUCUAUUGAGAUAAUUAUGUGGUUUUUGCCCUUAGUUCUGUUUAUGCGAUGAAUCACAUUUAUUGAUUUGCAUAUUUUGAAUAAGCCUUGCAUCCCAGGGAUGAAGCCUACUUGAUCGUUGUGGAGAAGCUUUUUGAUGUGCUGCUGGAUUUGGUUUGCCAGUAUUUUGUUAAGAACUUUUGCGUCAAUGUUCAUCAAGAAUAUUGGCCUGAAAUUUUCUUUUUUAUUGUAUCUCUGCCAGGUUUUGGUAUCAGGAUGAUGCUGGCCUCAUAGAAUGAGUUAUGGACGAGUCCCUUCUUUUCAAUUUUUUGGAAUAGUUUCACUAGGAAUGGUACCAGCUCUUCUUUGUAACUCUGGUAGAAUUCAGCUAUAAAUCUGCCUGGUCCUGGGCUUUUUUGGGUUGGUGGACUAUUUAUUACUGCUUCAGUGUCAGAAUUGUUAUUGGUCUGUUCACAUAUUCAAUUUCUUCCUGAUUCAAUCUUGGGAGGGUACAUGUGUCCAGGAAUUUAACUAUUGCUUCUAUAUUUUCUAAUUUAUGUGCAUAGAGUUGUUUAUAGUAUUCUCUGAUGGUUGUUUGUAUUUCUGUGGGGUCAGUGGUGAUAUCCCCCUUAUCAUUUCUGAUUAUGUUUAUUUGAAUCUUGUCUCUUUUCUUCUUUAUUAGUCUAGCUAGUGGUCUAUUUUAUUAAUUUUUUUGCAGAAAAACAACUGCUGGAUUUGUUGAUUUUUGAAGGUAUUUUUUUGUGUCUCUAUUUCCUUCCAGUUCACCUCUGGUCUUAGUUAUUUCUUGUCUUCUGCUAGCUUUGGGGCUUGUUUGCUCUUGGUUCUCUAGGUCUUUUAGUUAUGAUGUUAGGUUGUUAAAUUGAGAUCUUUCUAGCUUUUCAAUGUAAGCAUCUAGUGUUGUAAAUUUCCCUCAUAACACUGCUUUGGCUGCCUCCCAGAGAUUCUAGUACACUGUAUCUUUCUUCUCAUUAGUUUCAAAGAACCUCUUGAUUUCUGACUUACUUUCAUUUUUUCCCCAAAAGUCAUUCAGGAGCAGGUUGUUCAAUUUCCACGUAGUUGUAUGGUUUUUAGUUAACUUCUUAAUCUUGAAUUCUAAUUUGAUUGCUCUGUGGUCUGAGGACUGCUUGUUAUGAUUUCAGUUCUUCUGCAUUUGCUGAGGACUCUUUUACUUCCAAUUAUGUGAUCAAUUUUAGAGUAAGGCCACGUGGCAAUGAGAAGAAUGUAUAUUCUUUUGUUUUGGGGUGGAGAGUUCUGUAGAUGUCUAUCAGGUCCACUUGAUUCAGAGCUUAGUUUAGGUCUUGAAUUUCUUUGUUAAAUUUCUGUCUUGAUGAUGUCUACUAUUGACAGUGGGGUAUUAAAGUCUUCCACUAUUAUUGUGUGGGAGUCUAAGUCUCUUUGUAGGUCUCUAAGAACUUGCUAUGUGAAUAUGGGUGCUCCUGUAUUGGGUGCAUAUAGGAUAGUUAGCUCUUCCUGUUGAAUUGAACCCUUUGCCAUCAUGUAAUGCCCUUCUUUGCUUUUUUGAUCUUUGUUGGUUUAAGUCUGUUUUGUCAGAAACUAGGAUUGUAAUUCCUGCUUUUUUCUAUUUUCCAUUUACUUGGCAAAUUUUCCUCCAUCACUGUAUUUUGAGCCUAAGUGUAUCUUUGCACCUGAGAUGGCUCUCUUGAAGACAGCAGACUGAUGUGGCUUGACUCUUUAUCUUGCUUGCAUUCUAUGUCUUUUAAUUGGGGCAUUUAACCCAUUUACAUUUAAGGUCAGUAUUGUUAUGUGUGAAUUUGAUUCCAUCAUCAUGAUGCUAGCUGGUUAUUUUGCAGACUUGUUUAUGUGGCUGCUCCAUAAUGUCACUGGUCUGUCUACUUCAGUGUGUUUUUGUAGUGGCUGGUAACAGUUUUUCCUUUCAGUAUUUAGUUCUUCCUUCAGGAGGCUUUGUAAGGCAGGUCUGGUGGUAACAAAUUUCUUCAGCAUUUGCUUGUCUGAAAAGGAUCUUAUUUCUCCUUUGCUUAUGAAGCUUAGUUUGGCAGGACAUGAAAUUCUGGGUUGGAAAUUCUUUUCUUUAAGAAUGUUGAAUAUUGGCUCCAGUCUUUUCUGGCUUGUAGGGUUUCUACUGAGAGGUCUGCUGUUAGUCUGAUGUUCCUUUUGUAGGUGACGUGGCCCUUCUCUCUGGCUUCCCUUAACAUUUUUUCUUUCAUUUUGAUCUUGGAGAAUCUGAUGAUUAUGUGUCUGGUGGUUGAUCUUCUCAUGGAGUAUCUUACUGGAGUUGUCUGCAUUUCUUGAUUUUGAAUGUUGGCCUGUCUUAGAAAAGUUCUCCUGGAUGAUAUCCUGAAAUAUGUUUUCUAAAUUGGCUCCAUUCUCCCUGUUUCCUUCAGGUACCCCAGUUAGUUGUAGAUUUGGUCUCUUUACAUAAUCCCGUAUUUCUCAGAGGUUUUAUUCAUUCCUUCUCAUUCUUUUUUUUCUCUAUUCUUGUCUGCCUGUCUUAUUUCAGAAAGAUACUCUUUAAGCUCCAAGAUUCUUUCCUCCGCUUGGUCUAUUCUGCUAUUAAUACUUGUGACUGCAUUGUGAAGUUCUUGUGGUGUGUUUUGCAGCUCCAUCAGGUUGGUUAUGUUCCUCUCCAUACUGGCUAUUUUGGCUGUCAGCUCCUGCAUUGUUUUAUCCUGAUUCUUAGUUUCUUUGAAUCGGGUUACAAUAUCUCCUUUAGCUCAGCAAAAUUUGUUUUUAUUCACUUUCUGAAGCCUACUUCUGUCAUUUCAGCCAUCUCAGCCUCAGCCCAGUUCUGAGCCCUUGCUAGAGAGGUGUUGCAGUUAUUUGGAGGAGAGGGGGCCCUCUGGAUUUUUGAGUUUUCAGCAUCUUUAUGUUGAUUCUUUCUCAUCUUUGUGGGCCUAUCUACCUUUGAUUUUUGAGGCUGCUGACCUUUGGAUGGAGUUUUUGGUUUUGUUGUUGCUGUUGUUUGUUUUUCUUCUAAAAGUCUACCCAUUCUUUCGUAGGGCUGCUGCCGUUUUCUGGGAAUCCACUCCAGAUCUAGUCACCUCAGUUCUUCAAGUACCUGGAGGUAUCACCAGUGGAGGCUGUGAAAUGGCAUAGAUGGCAGCCUGUGCCUUCCUCUGGAAGCUCCAUCUGAGGGGUGUACUGACCUGUUGCCAGCCUCAACACGCCUGUAAGAGGUGGCUGGAGGACCCCAGUUGGGAGUUCUCACCCAGUCAGGUGAAAGGGUAUCAGGGACUCACUUAAAGAAGCAGUCUGACUGCUUUUUGGUAGAGCAGCUGUGCUGUGUUGGUGAAAUCCUUCACUGGAUCUCUUCAGCCCCCAGUCAGUUUGGUCUCUCCAAGGCCCAUAGGCUGGACUGGCUGAGAUACCCAAACAGUCAAGGUGGUGGCCUGCCCUGCCCCCUGGGCACUCUGCCCCAGGGAGAAAUUAGAACUCAGUCAGCUGUAGAACAUGGGUGGGGAUGGCCAGAGGCCCUGGUUGGGAAGACCCACCCAGUGAGGAGAAGUGGAUGUGGGCCCCAUUUAAAAAGCAGUCUGACCAUGCCUUGACAAAAUAGCCAUGCUGGGGAACUGCUUCUGCCGUGGUCAGCCUGGAGAACCCACAGGUUGGAAUGGCUGAGUUGCCCAAAUAGCCAAGGUGAUGGGGCCUCCCCUCCCCGCAGGCACUGUCCCAGGGAGAGAUCAGAGCUCUGUCCGUAGAAUAUGGGUAGGCAAGGGUAGCUGGAGGCUCUGGCUGGGAGGUCCCACCUAGUGAGGGGGAGUGGGUUGAGGUCCCACUUAAAGAAGCAGUCUACUUUGGGAGGCCGAGGUGGGCGGAUCACCUGAGGUCAAGAGUUCGAGACCAGCCUGGCCAACAUUGGCGAAACUACGUCUCUACUAAAAAUACAAAAAUUACCUGGGCAUGGUGGCAGGCAUCUGUAAUCCCAGCUACUUGGGAGGCUGGGACAGAAGAAUCACUUGAACCAGGGAGGCAGAGGUUGCAGUGAACCUAGAUGGUGCCAUUUGCACUCCAGCCUGGGCAACAGAGUGAGACUCCGUCUAAAAGAAAAAAAAAAGCAGUCUGACCAGGUUCAGGCAAAGCAGCGGUACUGCACUGGGGGGACCUUUCCUCAUCGGGACCAUUUGGAGUCUCCAAAGCCCGCAGGCUGGAAUGAUUGAGUUGACCAAACAGCAGAGAUAGCAGCCCACCCCUUUUCAGGGGCUCUAUCCCAUCUCAGGCAGGCUCCACCCUGUUGCUGGUGGCUGGCUGGAAUUCUGAGUCAGUGGGUCUUAUUUUGUGAUGUGCAGUAGAAGCAGAGCCCACAGACCAACGCUGCUCGUCUCCCUGCAUUCUCCCCCCUUCCUGGGGGUAUGUACAGACCUCCCACCUUGGCGGGGAUCCUGGGGCAGAGUAUGUCAAGUUCUCUGUGUGCCUGAGCAGCUGCUCUGCUGAGACUACACAAGUCUGUGUGUCAGACCCAACGCCCUGCUGGUGUGGGCUCACGAGGGGAUCUCCUGCUCUGAGGAUUGCAGAGAUCCAUGGGAGAAGCGUGGUUUCCUGGGGCCUCACAUUCGCUCACCAUUUUCCUCGGCUGGGGUAGAGGUUCCCUUGGCUCCAUGUCACUCGCAAGUGGGCUAUCGCUCUGCCCUGAUUUUCUUCAUCCUCCAAGGGUUCAGUUGUUUCACUAUCAGUCCCAAGGCCAGAGCCUGGAUAUUCCAGUUGAAGGUGCUGUAUCCAUUCGCCCCCUUCGUUCCUCUCUGUGAGCGCCACGAACCACAGCUGCUUCCAUUCAGUAAUCUUGGCCCCUCCUCCAUUCGUUUUUUCUAAACACUCCUUCUUACCUUCUGGGACUACAAGAUGCUCCACACUCAUCUUGUAUAUUUUCUGCUUCAGUCCCACAACCAGCAGUUUAUCCAAGCAGCUGUGGUUCCUUUUAUUGGAGGAUAAUACUAGAAACCAAGAUCUGGGUGCCAAGUAUGCCCAUUGCUCCUGGGUGUUGUUCUUCUCAGCCCACUGAGCUAAGAAGAAGGAAAUAUAUGCACCAGAUGAUGUACUUUAACUGCUUAAAUACACUUGUCUCUAUAUAUUUCUACAUGAGCCCAUCUCUAUCUGUGUUAAGCUAAAUAUGGGUUCAUACCGAUGUCUCCAACUCUAGUCCACUACCAUAUAGAUCAUUACAGCCUCCUUUCCUAACCUACCUGUAAACCCACACUCCCAUGACUUCCUUAACCACCAUUCAUUUACUCAGUUGUUCAAUUCUAGUAUACAUAUAUACCAGUAUCAGAAUUGUUAACCCAGACCCUGUGGAAAAUAACUGUAUUGACUACAGUUCACUGUUCAUGUGAAACUCUCUUUGCCUUCAGGCUUAUAGAGUCCACACAUUUCCAGAGUUACUAAGGUCAGCACCUUUUCCCCCUCCCACUCCCUUCAGUGCAGUGAUUUCAUGCAUUUGUAAUACAAUUACAUUCUUUUUCUUUUCUCUCCAGGCUACAUUCUGUCCUGAUAUCCACCAAACUCCUAAACAACUUUAAAAAUACCUGCACUCAUGAAGAUAUUUAAUAAUAGGGCAACUUUUCAACACUCCACCUCUUCUGUCCUGUCAACUGCUGAUCUUUCACACGGUUAUUACUAUAGCUUUGCCUUUUCCAGAAUGCAAUUUAAUUGGACUCAUACAAUCUGUAGCUUUUUCAUACUGGCUGUUUUUUGAGUGAGAUUCCUCCAUGCGUUUUCAUGACUUGAUAGUUCAUUUAUUUUUAUUGCUGAAUAAUAUUCUAUUGUAUGAAGGCACCACAAUGAGUUCAUCCAUUCACCUAUUGAAGGACAUCUUGGUUGCUUUUAGUUUGGGUGAUUAUGAAUAAAGUUUCUGUAAACAAUUUGUGUACAUCUGAUUGUGUGGACAUCAAUUUUCAAAUCAGUUGGAUAAAUAUCUAAGAGUUCGAUUGUUGGAUCAUAUGAUAAAACUGUGCUUAGCUUUGUAAGAAAACUGCCAAGCUCUUUUCCAAAGUGAGUGUACCAUUUUCAUUUCCACCAGUAAUAAAUGAGAGUUCCUGUUAUUCUGCAUUCUGGCCACCAUUUAGUAUUGUCUGAUUUUUAAAUUUUAGUCCUUCUAAAUGGUAGUAUGGCUUAUGGUGGUAUCUCAUUUUUAUUUUAACUUGCAAGUCUCUAGUGACUAAUGCUGUUGAACAUGUUUUCUUCUUAUUUUUUCUCCUGUAUAUCUUCUUUGGUAAGGUGUCUGUUGAGACUUUUCGACCAUUUUCUAACUGGGUUUUCGUUUUGUUAUUUUUGAGUUUCAAGGGUUCUUUGUAUUUUUGGAUACAAUUUCUUUAUUUGAUCAUGUUUUGCAGAUAUGGUCUUCCAGUGUGUAGCUUGUCUUUCUAUUAUCUUAACAGCCUCUUUGGCAGAGCAGAAGUUUUUUAUUUUAAUGGAGUUCAAUUUGUCAAUAUUUUCUUUCAUGGAUUAUGCUUUUGAUAUUAUAUUAAUACACUCAUCACCAAAACCAAG